rnacentral:rRNA from 1 species
UAGUUCAUAGUAGUGGUUGAUGUUGAUUAUCAAGUUUUUUGGAAUCAGUUAAAAUUUUUAGGCCCGGCUUAACUCGUGCCAGCCGCCGCGGUUAUACGAUGGGGUCUAAUAAAAUCUUUUGGUGGAAUUAAGUAGAGUUUGUUUUUUUUAAAAUAAUUUUUUAACUAUUUAUUUAAGGGUGAAAUUUUUAAAUAUGUACUAUAAUAAUUAUAAAAAACUUUAUAUCUUUUGAAAUAAAGGUUUAGACUAGGAUUAGAUACCCUAUUAUUCUUUAUUAUUAAGUGCCUGGGUAGUAGAGAUAUUUUUAAACCUAAAGAAUUUGGCGGUACUUCAUUCUUACUAGAGGAACCUGCUCUUGAAUCGAUAUUCCACGAUUAAAUUUACAUAUUUUUGUUUUCAGUUUGUAUACCGCCGUUGUCAGAUUAUUUUUAAAAAAUAUUAUCUAAUUAGCUUAUUGCUGUGACAUCAGGUCAAGGUGCAGCC